rnacentral:rRNA from 1 species
CGCGGCCUAUCAGCUUGUUGGUGAGGUAAUGGCUCACCAAGGCGACGACGGGUAGCCGGCCUGAGAGGGCGACCGGCCACACUGGGACUGAGACACGGCCCAGACUCCUACGGGAGGCAGCAGUGGGGAAUAUUGCACAAUGGGCGAAAGCCUGAUGCAGCGACGCCGCGUGAGGGAUGACGGCCUUCGGGUUGUAAACCUCUUUCAGCAGGGAAGAAGCGAAAGUGACGGUACCUGCAGAAGAAGCGCCGGCUAACUACGUGCCAGCAGCCGCGGUAAUACGUAGGGCGCGAGCGUUGUCCGGAAUUAUUGGGCGUAAAGAGCUCGUAGGCGGCUUGUCACGUCGGUUGUGAAAGCCCGGGGCUUAACCCCGGGUCUGCAGUCGAUACGGGCAGGCUAGAGUUCGGUAGGGGAGAUCGGAAUUCCUGGUGUAGCGGUGAAAUGCGCAGAUAUCAGGAGGAACACCGGUGGCGAAGGCGGAUCUCUGGGCCGAUACUGACGCUGAGGAGCGAAAGCGUGGGGAGCGAACAGGAUUAGAUACCCUGGUAGUCCACGCCGUAAACGGUGGGCACUAGGUGUGGGCGACAUUCCACGUCGUCCGUGCCGCAGCUAACGCAUUAAGUGCCCCGCCUGGGGAGUACGGAA